GCCGGGGUAGCUCAGUGGCAGAGCAGCUGAUUCGUAAUCAGCAGGUCGGGAGUUCAACCCUCCUCCCCGGCU
rnacentral:tRNA from 1 species